rnacentral:rRNA from 1 species
AGAGUUUGAUCCUGGCUCAGGACGAACGCUGGCGGUGCGCCUUAUGCAUGCAAGUCGAGCGAAGCUUUUCAGUAGUUUACUACAGAAAAUGACUGAGCGGCGAACGGGUGAGUAACGCGUGAGCAAUCUACCUUAGUUACAGGGAUAGCCCGAGGAAACUCGGAUUAAUACCUGAUAUUCUUUAUUUCUCGCAUGAGAAUAAAAGGAAAGGUCAGCCGAACUAAGAUGAGCUCGCGUUCUAUCAGCUAGUUGGUGAGGUAAAAGCUCACCAAGGCUACGACGGAUAGCUGGUCUGAGAGGACGAUCAGCCACACUGGGACUGAGACACGGCCCAGACUCCUACGGGAGGCUGCAGCAGGGAAUAUUGUGCAAUGAACGAAAGUUUGACACAGCGACACCGCGUGUGGGAUGACGGAUCUAGGUUUGUAAACCACUUUCAGGAGGGAAGAAAAUGACGGUACCUCCAUAAGAAGCCCCGGCCAACUACGUGCCAGCAGCCGCGGUAAUACGUAGGGGGCGAGCGUUGUCCGGAUUUAUUGGGCGUAAAGAGCUCGUAGGCGGUUCAACAAGUCGGUCGUGAAAGUUCAGGGCUCAACCCUGAAAUGUCGAUCGAUACUGUUGUGACUAGGAUACGGUAGAGGUGAGUGGAAUUCCGAGUGUAGCGGUGAAAUGCGUAGAUAUUCGGAGGAACACCAAUUGCGAAGGCAGCUCACUGGGCCGCUAUCGACGCUGAGGAGCGAAAGCUAGGGGAGCAAACAGGAUUAGAUACCCUGGUAGUCCUAGCUGUAAACGAUGGAUACUAGACGUAGGAACUGGAUUGACGGUUUCUGUGUCGCAGCUAACGCGUUAAGUAUCCCGCCUGGGGAGUACGGUCGCAGACUAAACUCAAGGAAUUGACGG